GGGGCGGUAGCUCAGUUCGGUGAGAGCCGUGGACUCAUAAUCGGAUGGUCGCGGAUACGAGCCCCGCCCGCCCCACCC
rnacentral:tRNA from 1 species